rnacentral:rRNA from 1 species
CGGAACGGGUAGGAGGUAACGCGUGAGGAAACCGCUCCAAAGAGGGGGACAACAGUUGGAAACGACUGCUAAUACCGCAUAAGCCCACGGCUCGGCAUCGAGCAGAGGGAAAAGGAGCAAUCCGCUUUGAGAUGGCCUCGCGUCCGAUUAGCUAGUUGGUGAGGUAACGGCCCACCAAGGCGACGAUCGGUAGCCGGACUGGGAGGUUGAACGGCCACAUUGGGACUGAGACACGGCCCAG